GCGAGGGCUGUCAAAACAGCUGGAUCCCAGCAGACAGCAGCGAGGCUGCCCACUCGGAAAGACGGUUAAUAUUAAUGGAAUGUCCUGAGGGUGGACCCGGUCUCAUUCUUCAUUCCUUAUCCUUCAUUCCGUGGUUUCUUUUAUCUGGUAUUUCUGGGCAAGACAAAGAGCAACCUGACUGGAAUGCUACAGGCCAGCUUUGCCAGCCCAUGCCAAAAAUGCAGCAAAGGAGGCCGGAAGGAAGUUAGAUGGACACUGGAGGCUCUUUAAUUUCCUCUUCUGCUCUAUCAGGCCAGCUUGCCCCAGCUCGCUCCCUUGUCUUCUGGCCCUCAGGCUCCAAUGCCUAGGCUUCCUCUUUCCCUCUCCUCUCCAGCAAUACUGUGCAGCUGCAUUUGGUAAACUCCAGCCCUGCCUCAAGCAUCGAAGAUUCCCAGAAACUCAAUUCUCACCCAAGUUGGAAACGUAAGGAAGAAGAAAGGAGAGCCAUCUGUUUCUGCAUUGGAUACAAAAGAGUCUUCAGCAAAGAAAGCAACCAGGAGGAAGGGGCUUUCCAGGCUUGUCUGGCCACUCAGUUACUUGAAAGGAAGACCUUCAGAAAACUCCAGCUUCCCCCCAUGACUCAGAAAUGCUUGGCUAAUUAUCGUUUGGGGGCAUGAUGUCUGAGGAGGAAAGGCCCCUGGCUGCCUGAAGUCUGCCCAAGGCCAGGCCCCAUUGCUGGAAGCAGGGCUGUCAGUCAGCUGAUGACAUUCUGAGUUCCACCAACAGUGUCAGGGCCCAGGAGAGAAGCUUCCUGCUGGGACUGGGCAGCAGGGCUCAAAACCCACACCCCGGAGGCUGUCAGUCUGCAGCUGGGAUGGACAGCCCCUCUUAGCUUCUCUCCCAGCUUUCGUCGUCAUAAGACCUGUCCAGCCAGGUGGCCAGGCUCUGAAAGGGUGGCUGUCACUCCACUAACGCCCUGGGCUUUGCCUCAGGGAAGAGAGCCUGCUCAUCAAUUACAGAAUAAAUGACACCUCCUCCACUCACUGCCUCUCACCCAGUUCCCCACCGUAUAGACCUCCUUACCUUGGUGAAUAGAAGCAUGAAGAAGGAGGCUUUUAUCAGGAAAGAAGAUGGACAGACCUCCUGAGGUCCCAACCAAGAAGGCAUACCUCACAGUACUAACAAUCAAGAGUCCUCGAGAUAAAGGUCAGGAGGUCAUCCUUACGUCAUGUAGUGUAAGAUGGUGCUAAUCACACAGCAACGCAUUGUGUGUCAGCUUAUUGCUCUUCCCGUAAGGACGCAAGCCGCACGACAAUGGAAGCAAAUGUGUUGUGCACUCGCAGGGGCGCAGGAAGCCCAGCUGCAGUUGAAAAGUGUGUGUCUGUAUUAUAGAGCGGAAGAAAGGGGAUGCGCAAGGAACGAAGUCGGUUUUUACCUUUCCACUUGUGGGAAACCAAUUGUUGGUGCCGAAAACUGAACUCAAGAAUCUUUGAAACAGAGGCCAGUAUAAAAUUCAGGAGCAGGAACUUUUCAAUAACAUUUGUAUUUUCUUUGAAAGCGGCACACAUGUAUACAAUGUAUUUUGUUUGUUCAUUUGCUCCAUUUUGAGACAGGGUCUCACUAUGUAACCCUGGCUGGCCUAGAACUUACUAUGUCGACCAGGCUGGCCUUGAACUCAAGGAGAUUUGCCUGCCUCUGCCUCAGCCCCCUGACCCCUGCACCCCACCUCCCAAGUACUGGGAUUGAAGGUGUUGGCCAGUACGUCCAUCAGUUGAGUGCAUUUUGAGUGCAUUGAGUGUAUUCACCCAUCUCUACCCCUCUCCAACCCUCCCCAGUGCCCCUCACCCCACACCCCUCCCAACUUCAUGUCCUUUGUAUAAAACUGUUAUUAGUAACUCCUUGAGUCCAAUUAGAGCUGGCCAUAUGAGCGAGAAAAAAAUUAAAAAUAGUUGCUUCUUAAGAGGCAAAUGAGAAGAAAAACAGUAUAUUUUUAUAAGUUUGUAAAACAUUUGUUAAAAAUUACUAAAAGGUGGAAAGUUACAGCCAGGAGGUCGAGCUACUCUCAUUACCUGUCAGUCAUAUGCAGUGCGCUUUUCACUGCUUCUCAUAGUAAGAGGGUGUCCAAAUCACUUAAAACAAUGCGAGUGAGGCCAGCGGCAGCCACUGUUAGGACACUUCAGAACCCCCUCCUGUCACAUGUCUUCUGUACUGACACUUGUUCCUACAUAAGAGAAGCCUAAAUAUUCUUCCCUUUUAAAGGGCCUGUUUAUCACCAUCCAAGCCCCAGAAAAAGAGUAAGGAUGAACAAUGCAGAAAUUACAACAGUAGAAUCCAAAAGUCAGGCUAUCGACCUCAGAGCAUGGCCGCCAGUGCUUUGUGGGGGCCUAGCCUACAAGGAACCCAUAGAUCUGCCCCCAUGCAGGGCAGGGCAGGAGACUCUGUAUCUGGAAUCUUGCCCUUCGAACGGCAAGGUUUGGAGACUUAAAACUUACCCACACAAGGAAACAGUGGACCAAGUGAGAAUCUUCAUUUCCCAUAAAUUCUCCAGGUGUACCUUGCACUUUGUUGGAGGUAACACUGGAGGACAGGGACACACUGCGACCUGCCUAACUGGAGCUGUGGUCCAAUCCACUGUUUCCUUCUUGCCCUAACCAGGCCAUGUGGGAACUGGCAUUGAGAAACUGGAAUCUAAAGGUGACAUCAUCUUAGUUUCCAGAGACUGGCCAGUUCCUAGUCCCUCCCAACAAAAACUUCAGUAGAAAAUUAAGUUAUGGUCUUUUUUUUUUUUUUAAACAGAUGGGACUUAAGGCUAGCAGGAUAUUUCACUUCAGAUGUUUCGGUUGUCUAUAAUUAGAUCCAUAUUUAAUUAAGCAUUUAAGUGUUUCAAUUAAGUAUAUUUAAUUAUAGAAAACUCUAAUUUGGAGUGUAUGUUGUUGUUGUUGUUGUUGGUGGUGGUGGUGGUGGUGGUGGUUUACUUGUUUUAAGAACCAGUAAAAAGAUAAGGGGAGGAGGGUACGCAAGAGUUUAGCACAUCAUGGGAGGGCAGGUAGCAGGCGGAGUGGACCUCGGGAGCCUGGGAGAGGCUAAAGCUUUACUCAUGGCUUCGACAAAGAGAGAUGGGGUAUGUGAGAGAUACCCCAAAGAGUGAGCAACGUUAGGGUCACAGCUAGGGGCGCUCUGUGAGAAGUUCUCUUCACGUGAGCACAUUUUACAUUACAGGGACCUAGAGCAGAGCAGCGGAAAUGGAGGUAGAGCCAGUAGGAUGAAAACGGAAGUCAUGAGGAGGAGAAAGAAGCAGGGACCGUUUCGGUGACUAUAUAUACUAUAUACUAGGACUAUAUACCACCCCACCUCACAGCCUGAUGACACCCAGGCCCUUGGCUGAACGAGAUUAUGGAGCUGAAGUGAGUCCAAGAAGGCUGAUAGUAUAUUUCUAGACACUUCAUGUUUACUCCUUUCCGGAUGGUGGGUCUCUUCCACCAUAGAGUCCAUACUUCCCAUGUGGGAGGAGGCAGUGCAGGCCCUAGCACACCGGCAGAGCCCUGUGGCAUGUGACACCCAAGACAGUGUUUGUGACCUCUGAAGAGGUUGGUUGGGACCAUGGGAUUAGAACCAACCACCCACUGUCCUAGCCUGUUGAUUUUACAAAUCCAGCAACUACAGAUCCCGUCGUUGGGUGUGGCCAGGAGGGGGUACGACACCAUGAAAAGUCACCUCCAUUCCUGUAAGUCCACACAAGCACGCUAGUGACGUGGGUGUAACAGCCCCCACAGGGGCCGAUCCGCCAGAAGUGCACAGACCAAGGAGGGGAGCAACGGCACUGGGUGCCCAGAGAGUGAGUGAGAUGCACAGUGGUCCCUUCAGCCUCCUCAAGCCAACGGUGCAGAAACUCACAGGAAACCCCGGAUGUUUGCAGAGUUCUGAUUUGUGGUUUCCAGCAGGCAUCGUGUGGCUGGCUUGCUCCUCGCCUCCUGCCAGGCAGCCAGCAGGAUAAACACAUGGCCCACAUGUCUCUACAAAGCUCCCUUAGAACCUUCUUCUCAGCAGCCCCGAGUCCUGCAGGAGAUGUUCUCCGUCCAUCCUUUCUGCUAUAGUCUUUUUUGACCCCUCGUGGUUUAGUCACAGAAAACUGUCUGCUUGGCAUAUGUUUGCCCGUCUAGCUUUCCUCUCCCACCCUCUCGUCCACCAAGGAUGCAAUCAGGAAGAAGGAAUGUCCACAAUGAUGGGUUCCUCUCUCCUGUAAACGUUCUGCAGGUCCAACCUGACAAGGAACCUUCUCCAUCCCCUCAGGGACCAUCGCUGCUCCUGUUGGAGCCUGAGAAAAACCUGUCCUCUCUACCAACAUGGAGUCUUCUGCACAGGAUGUGACACAUGAAGGAAGAGAUGGGCGGUGCAGGGGACGCCCGUGCUGAGGCCACAGAGGGAGAAACGCACCAGUCCCACACCCGGGUGCACUUGGUAGAAGCCUGCUCUAUCCAUCUGUUAGCAAAUACCCACCCACCCUAUCGUGGUAGACACAAAGAAGCCCUGAUACCUGUGUGGUAACGGGAACAGACUAGGCUACAGAGCUCAGGUCCACCCACAGGAACCAUGUUUUCAAGCCAUAAAUCAUGGCUGUUCUGGAAAAUUCCAGUCAUAGAAGAGAAAGAAAUAUAUACAAAUAACCUUGGAAGCAGGAGGAAUGAAGACAGCCUGGACACAGAUGUGCCUCGGGGAUGUAAGUGGCAACCCAGGUAAACCGAGGGGCUCCACGUCACUCUGCAAGGCCGACAACCAGAAGUAACUGAAAGGAAAUUCCAGGCCUCUUUAUGACUCUGUGAAUGUUAUUCUCUCACCAGCCAACAGAGCUCCCAUCCCCUUUCCCCUUCAAUCUCCACAUUUCUCUGCAGCCUCAAAACCUUUCUUUGCCAGGUCUUCCAAAGGCCUCCCAGCACAGAGCAUGCAGCCAUUGUGUGCUCUUCUCUCUCUCUCUCUCUCUCUCUCUCUCUCUCUCUCUCUCUCUCUCUCUCUCUCUCUCUCUCUCUCUCCUCAGCCUGAUGUAAGAGUACAGAGGUGAGAUCCAUCCCGGAAGACUUCUCAGAGCAGGAAGCAGGCACGCUGACCUGUAAAGGGCAAGUUGGGUUUUCAGAGGAGUGGAAUGAAACAUUGUAAACUAAAGGAUAUCAUGAGCCGGCUGGAGAGAUGGCUCAGCGGUUAAGAGCACUGGCUGCUCUUCCAGAGAUCCUGAGUUCAAUUCCCAGCAACCACAUGGUGGCUCACAGCCAUCUGUAAUGGGAUCCGAUGCCCUCUUCUGGUGUGUCUGAAGACAGCUACCGUGUGUUCACAUACAUACAAUAAAUCUUUUUAAAAAGAGAAUGUCACGAGCAUGCUGCAGAACAGCGGCGUUGCUGGGGUUGCAAAAGUCAGAGGCAGCAGAACCAUGGGGGAGCCAAGGCCUAGCGGGGAGUGGACAGAGUGGAUGCUGGGCCAGAAUGCACUACAGGUUUAGCCAUGGAAAGGUAAACUGUGAGGAAGAGCAUCCCAGGAAGCCCCGGGUGGGGGUUGGGGGUGGAGAGGUCAGGAGGUGUGUCCUUCAUUCACCCAGCAAGUCUGUCUUCACCUUAACAUACUCUCCGUGUAAGUGAGGCUUUCUUCAUUGCUCACCAGCAGCGGAAACUGAGAACACCAGAGAACAGUCACCUGAAAGCCACAGCUUAUCCCUAGCUCACUUUGAGAGCCAGCUGCCUUCCCCAGGACUCUUCCUGAACUCCGUCGAGUCCUAAACGCAAGGCAUCUGACCUCCAUGCUUUUGUCUCUCCUUCCUCAAGCCAGAGAAACCAGUACAAAGACAAGCCAGAGAGAUGAGCAAUGGAAAAAGAAAUCAGGUCUGGGACCCCUGUGCGCCUGAAUCCAUGCAAGCAAGAGAUGUUACUGUCACCCUUAGUGGCACAAGCUGAAUGCAGCAAACAUUGCCAUUGGGCCAAAAUCUUGGCCUCCACCUCACAUGGUGGUCCGAUCGGCUAUGCUAGCUUGUUUUGUAAGCCUGCUGCUUUCUCCUUGCUGUUGAAAUCCCAGCUGCCCUUUAAGAUACCUCACCUACAAAGCCAUUGGAGCUCCGACCCCCAGCUCCUGGGCUCCCACCCCCAUCUCUGCACUGUCUCUCUUCCAGACAUCGGCAGUACCAAACAGCUCACUACCUAAUCCCAGGGCCACUCUGCCUCCCACCACGUGCCCUGCUGGUGAGGGGCUGCCCUUAUGAUUGGAAUUGUAUUUGGCAUUUUCAUGUGGGCUUUCCUGGAACACCACAAAGUGUACAGGGCAUAAAAAAAAAAAAAAAAAAAAAAAAAACCAAACCAGAACGAACUGCCGUCCAGUAACUGGCUGUUUAAACUGGCUUUCUGUUUGUUAGUAUACUAGUUAGUUUGCUUGUUUUAAAGGCUUAUGUGUACCUUUUGCUUUUCAUACUGGGCAGUCCAUGAGAAAGACUGGCUUAUUAAACUAAUUUUAAAAAGACCGAAUUUCAUGUAAACUGGCAAAUACUAGUACCGUAGAAAUAGGACACAGAAGGAGGUCUGCGCAGCUCCGUGCGCCGUACGUGGAAGUGGCUAGUGCGUAACCGAUUUAGAACAAGUGGUGGUAGAAGGGUUUUUUUAGACACGAACAGAGAACCUCCAAACUGUUCUCUAACGAGUUCAAAUUGUGUGCUUUCCCUCGUCUUGUUUAAAGGAUUAACUGCACACACAUGCGCACACGAGUCUUUAUUUCAGAUUUAGUGAUAACUUCUGCCCAAGCCUGGCUAAAUCGUCACACUUUCCAAAUGACUGCCCUGCAGUCUAACGAAUGUCUUCAUAGCUUCAGCUGGGAGUGGCGAGCUAGCGCUGUGGCCGCUGUGUGUGUGUGUGUGUGUGUGUGUGUGUGUGUGUGUGUGUGUGUGUUCAUAUACUCUGUGUGUGAGUGUCUGCCCAUCCGUGGGCCUUAUAAACCCUCCAGGAGUCUGUGACACCCUGGGGAUGGCAUUAUUGAGAAACAGGUGGGCCUCCGAGAUAAAGGAGAUAAGAUGAGGGUUCAGUCAUAGAUUCUACUCCUGUCUAAUGCAUGGCCUAGAGCCAAGCCCUGUGCGUCCGUGACUCUUGGCUUUCUCACUUUUAAAGGGCAUAGCCUCUAAAAUAAGUGGAAGCGCUUAGCUCGGAGCCUGGUGCAGGAAAACGUCUGUUAGCAGUCACGAGGAGCGGGACUUCACUCAAGUGCUUCCAAGGAUGGACUGUGCUUCAGCCUCUAUGCGGGUCUCU